AUGGACAUAGUUUAACCAAAACAUUAGAUCGUGGCUCUAAAAAUGCGGGGCUGGAUACCCCCUGUCCAUC
rnacentral:tRNA from 1 species